rnacentral:rRNA from 1 species
GACGAACGCUGGCGGCGUGCUUAACACAUGCAAGUCGAACGGAAAGGCCUCUUCGGAGGUACUCGAGUGGCGAACGGGUGAGUAACACGUGGGUGAUCUGCCCUGCACUCUGGGAUAAGCCUGGGAAACUGGGUCUAAUACCGGAUAGGACCAUGCUUUAGUGUGUGUGGUGGAAAGUUUUUUCGGUGUAGGAUGAGCCCGCGGCCUAUCAGCUUGUUGGUGGGGUAAUGGCCUACCAAGGCGGCGACGGGUAGCCGGACUGAGAGGUUGGUCGGCCACAUUGGGACUGAGAUACGGCCCAGACUCCUACGGGAGGCAGCAGUGGGGAAUAUUGCACAAUGGGCGCAAGCCUGAUGCAGCGACGCCGCGUGGGGGAUGACGGCCUUCGGGUUGUAAACUCCUUUCGCCAGGGACGUAGCGUUUUGUGACGGUACCUGGAGAAGAAGCACCGGCUAACUACGUGCCAGCAGCCGCGGUAAUACGUAGGGUGCAAGCGUUGUCCGGAAUUACUGGGCGUAAAGAGCUCGUAGGUGGUUUGUCACGUCGUCUGUGAAGUUCCACAGCUUAACUGUGGGCGUGCAGGCGAUACGGGCUGACUUGAGUACUGUAGGGGUAACUGGAAUUCCUGGUGUAGCGGUGAAAUGCGCAGAUAUCAGGAGGAACACCGAUGGCGAAGGCAGGUUACUGGGCAGUUACUGACGCUGAGGAGCGAAAGCAUGGGUAGCAAACAGGAUUAGAUACCCUGGUAGUCCACGCCGUAAACGAUGAGUGCUAGGUGUUAGACCCUUUCCGGGGUUUAGUGCCGUAGCUAACGCAUUAAGCACUCCGCCUGGGGAGUACGACCGCAAGGUUGAAACUCAAAGGAAUUGACGGGGGCCCGCACAAGCGGUGGAGCAUGUGGUUUAAUUCGAAGCAACGCGAAGAACCUUACCAGGUCUUGACAUCCCUCUGACCGCUCUAGAGAUAGAGCUUUCCUUCGGGACAGAGGUGACAGGUGGUGCAUGGUUGUCGUCAGCUCGUGUCGUGAGAUGUUGGGUUAAGUCCCGCAACGAGCGCAACCCCUAUUGUUAGUUGCCACCAUUCAGUUGGGCACUCUAGCGAGACUGCCGGUAAUAAACCGGAGGAAGGUGGGGAUGACGUCAAAUCAUCAUGCCCCUUAUGACCUGGGCUACACACGUGCUACAAUGGCUGGUACAACGAGUCGCAAGUCGGUGACGGCAAGCUAAUCUCUUAAAGCCAGUCUCAGUUCGGAUUGUAGGCUGCAACUCGCCUACAUGAAGUCGGAAUCGCUAGUAAUCGCGGAUCAGCACGCCGCGGUGAAUACGUUCCCGGGCCU